CUGUUGCCCAAACACUGAUCUACAUGUCCCCCGAAGUUAUUCUGACGAAGGUCUUCAGCAAGGCCAUUGACAUGUGGAGUCUGGGCUGCAUCUUAGCCGAGCUCAAGAGAGGCGUGGUCCUCUUCCAAGUGUGCGACGAGUGCGAGCUGAUGCUGGAAAUGACGAAGCUGCUGGGUGUUCCCCCAAAGCAUAUGCUGAAGGACACCCCGCUUGAGAACUUGCUCUCUGGUCCAAGAACCAGCAGACGCAGGGCCAGGCGCCAUUUGUCUAAGGCCCUGGACACGGAGAACAAACUCUUCCUUGACUUCAUCCAGAGCUGCCUCGAAUACGAGCCGGCGUAGCGCAUGACCCCGGAUGAGGCCAGGCAUCAUCCCUGGAUUCUGAUGCACUUCCAGAGUCCCAGCUCCAGUGAGGACUCUUCUCCCCACCAGUCCACCAACUGGGAGCACAUGGUGGACUCCACCAGCGACGCAGCCCCGUCCACCUCCGGACCAGGGCCAAGCCCGGUCGGAGCAAGGGACAGCAGGAAGGAGGGGGCGCCAAAUUAAGGGGGUCCCCCCCCUAAUGGGGACAAGAACCGUUACAUGAGGCCCCCAAGCCAUCACUUCCUGCUGAUACAAGCCCUCAACAUGCUCCCUGCACACAGACGCCUCGACGGUCUUCAGAAAACACCUGACACCGUUUGAGCAGAGGGGAAUCAAACAGUACAAGGAGGUGUGGUCCCUUGGUGUAGCUGAAGAGAAGGUUCAGGAGACAUUCCCCCUCCGCCAUGGUUUUGAUGACAGCGAGGGACACUACAAGAUGGUUAUCAAAGACCACAUCGCCUACCGCUUUGAGGUCCUGGAGCUGAUGGGUGAGGGCACCUUCGGUCGAGUCCUCAAGUGCAGAGACCACAAAACCCAGCAGCUGGUAGCCAUGAAGGUCAUUGCAAACGACCAGAGGUUUGCAGAUGAGGCGAUGGCAGAGGUGGAAAUUCUGGGGCUGCUCCAGAAGAAAGUUGUGCUUGACGUGGCCAACGUCGUCCACAUGAAGGAGCACGUCCACAUGCGUAACCAAAUGGACACUCAUAACUAUGUUUGAGAUCUAUAUUUCAUUUGGGAAAAAUAUACCUCCUGCCAUCUCGGUACCUCUGGAGGUACUGAGACGGGGACCGGUGGGUGGAGGCAGUGGAAACGACCACCGGUCGCCAGACACUGGGUCGUUGUCAGACGGAGCUGGUUGAGGAUGCAGAGACGGUGGCGAAUCGAUCGACAGAGACUCAACGCUAAACGAAGUGUCCACAGGAGGUACAAACUGAAGAAAAACCUCACGCACAGCUGGGCCUCCCAAAGAGGAGCUUCACCAUUUGUUCACAGACUGAGUGUUGCUGAUCAGGAGAUACUCCAUAACCCUGACAAGGUGGAGGAACCCUCUCUGGGGGUUCCUGUUGUGCAGGGCCUGAUUAUUUGAGGAGGUUUCAGCGUCAGCUGGACACUUAUUACUCCUGUCUUUUGUUUUAUUUAUGACAUGAUUUAUUUUGUAAUCUCUUCCAUGUUUGCAUGUCAAUAAAUCUGUUUUUGUUUGUUUAAUACUGGCACUAAAUGUACAUACUGUACAUACUUUGAAUGUGAAGGUACAUACUGAACUUACUGUGCCUACAAUGGGCCAUGGCAGUGACGUUUCAUAACGCCUAAAGGCUUUUCCAACAGACGGAAUUGCUGUGGCCCAUAGUUUACAGCGGCUAUCAGAUGGACUGGUAUCAGAUGUCUGCCUUCUAGCAUACUGAAGAGAUUGCUGUCUUUUAUUACCACCUUCUUUUGUUUUAUUUGUAUUUUGUUUUAUUUAUAAUCCUUUCCAAUUUUGCAUGACAAUAAAUCUGUUUUUGAUACUGUACAUACUGUGCCUACAAUGUUUCAAAAGUAAAUUGUUCAAGAAAAA